AAAUCAUCCCGGUGAUUGAGCUUGAACCAGUCACAGCACAACUGGAAUUAUGUACUGCCGGAAGCAGCCAGGAAGGCACAGCACAACCAGAAUUAUGUAAUGCCGGAAGCAGCCAGGAAGGCAUCGCCUCUCCAAACAGAUCUUCUCAGUGGCCGGAGGAAUUUGAAAUUCCUAAAUUUCCAGUCGAUGUUGAGUAUAGACUUCGCCAAGCUAACCUGCUAUAUCUCAGGGAUGCAACCCCUCUUCAAGUAACUAAAGAACUUAAGCAUGAAAUUCUCCAGAAACUGGCAGAGACCAUGUAUGCGUUCAAAGCAUACCCAGGAAAAUAAAAUUAUGAAGCUGUUGCCAAAGCCUUGGUGCAAACACACCCGUGCCUUAAAGAGAAAGGGUCCUGUGGCUGGUAUCGAUGGAAGAACAGCAUCACCUUUAAAAUGGGGAAUUAUAGAAGUAAAAUGCGCAAGCUGGGUCGACUUGAUGUCAGUGUCAAUGGUGGUAAACGUGGAAGGCACAGUACUGGUGGUGACCCACCAAACAAAGGCAUCAAGAAGCCAAGGAAAGGUGAAAUCAAUUUCCUGCCUGAUUAUCCAGAAGGGAUGGAAGACCAGAAUCUGGAAGGAAUUCGUCAGAUUCUGGUGAAUGAAAUGAUGAAGACGAAGCCAAAUGCAUCCCUCGUUAAGAAAGAGAUGGAUGUAACAUUUGCCCUCCGCUGAAAGGAAGUUGUCAAUGACGAGCCUGCCAUCAGCCAGAUUGUAGAGCGUUGGCCAGCUCUUUUCACAGAAAGUCAGGUUUAUUAUGAGUUCAGCAGAGUGGUGGGAAGAAAUCUCAGAGAACAUUUCUUUGAUGUGCUUGACCGUUUCUCUCCAAGCCUGAUGGAGCUUUUCAGGAAGAAGACAGGCCUUACUGGUCAGGUUUUGAUUGGGCUGUUACGUCAAACAAAGACCUCUGAGCCAACAGACAUCAGGUGCCUUUGUAUUCGGGGACUGCCUGUCAUCUUGGGAGAUGAUCCUUCUGCCUUCUUCAAGACCUGCACUGUAAGCGAAUGAAUGUGUUGUAAACGUUGCAGCUGAAUGUUCUCUUAUCCCUUUUUUUAUUUUGAACCAUUCAUAAAGACCAUAUACUACUUUUUCAUUCAGUGUUUCACAGACUUUUUAGCCAUACACAUUUUUACCCAAAACUAUUUGAAUAUCUGCAUGACUGUUCAAUGGUGUGAAAAUAACUGAGAAAGCUUGACUAUUAAAAUCAAUAUGUUAAACUAACAUCAAAUAUUUUGCUGUGGCUGUAGAAAUGCAAAGUCAAUCCUUAAGGCCAGGCCUCAUAUCCUGUAUGAGCAGCGCGUCUUUCUUUUUAUGUCUUUCAUUGUACAGUUUAUUCAUUGUAAACAUCUGAAGGCAAUUGCUUGUGGACAACCGACUAUUAUCUAACUAGCAUGAUUGUGGCCUCUCCUUGUCAAUCUUUCCCUCUUAAGAUCCAGCUGACAAAGGGCCUCAUUUAUAAAACGUACUUACGCACAGAUUUGAUCUGAGAGUGUUUGUGCGAUCAAAUCCACGUCUAAGUACAGAUUUAUAAAAACCGUCUUAGACGUAGAAAAGGACGUAUCUCUACGUCUGGUUCUAGUUCGUGUAAGUACAUUUCCUUGUGGCAAUACUGGAGU
ensembl:lncRNA